rnacentral:rRNA from 1 species
UACGAAGGGGGCUAGCGUUGCUCGGAAUUACUGGGCGUAAAGCGCACGCAGGCGGCUCUUUAAGUCGGAGGUGAAAUCCUGGAGCUCAACUCCAGAACUGCCUUCGAUACUGAAGAGCUCGAGUCCGGGAGAGGUGAGUGGAACUGCGAGUGUAGAGGUGAAAUUCGUAGAUAUUCGCAAGAACACCAGUGGCGAAGGCGGCUCACUGGCCCGGUACUGACGCUGAGGUGCGAAAGCGUGGGGAGCAACAGG